UAGGGAAUCUUCCGCAAUGGGCGAAAGCCUGACGGAGCAACGCCGCGUGAGUGAUGAAGGUCUUCGGAUCGUAAAACUCUGUUAUUAGGGAAGAAUAAAUGUGUAAGUAACUAUGCACGUCUUGACGGUACCUAAUCAGAAAGCCACGGCUAACUACGUGCCAGCAGCCGCGGUAAUACGUAGGUGGCAAGCGUUGUCCGGAAUUAUUGGGCGUAAAGCGCGCGCAGGCGGACUAGCCAGUCAGUCUUAAAAGUUCGGGGCUUAACCCCGUGAUGGGAUUGAAACUACUAGUCUAGAGUAUCGGAGAGGAAAGUGGAAUUCCUAGUGUAGCGGUGAAAUGCGUAGAUAUUAGGAAGAACACCAGUGGCUAAGGCGACUUUCUGGACGAACACUGACGCUGAGGCGCGAAAGCCAGGGGAGCGAACGGG
rnacentral:rRNA from 1 species